rnacentral:rRNA from 1 species
CCGGUGAAGUGUUCGGAUCGCGGCGACGUGGGCGGUUCGCUGCCGGCGACGUCGCGAGAAGUCCACUGAACCUUAUCAUUUAGAGGAAGGAGAAGUCGUAACAAGGUUUCCGUAGGUGAACCUGCGGAAGGAUCAUUGUCGCAACCUCAAACAGCACCACUCGUGAAUUCGUACGUCGCAUCGGGUGUCGUUGGGUGUUCGUUCACCCCUCGCCCCGUGCCUGGACGGGCCACUCAAGGUCUUGCUUGUGUGCGCUCGGUCGGGCAAAGAACAAAACCCCGGCGCCAGUCGCGCCAAGGAAUUAUGACAAUUGGACAUUCCCCUGGCGGCUCGGCAACGAUGCCCGCGCAGGGUGCGGUGUGACCCAUUUAUUUAAUCCAAAACGACUCUCGGCAACGGAUAUCUCGGCUCUCGCAUCGAUGAAGAACGUAGCGAAAUGCGAUACUUGGUGUGAAUUGCAGAAUCCCGUGAACCAUCGAGUCUUUGAACGCAAGUUGCGCCCGAAGCCAUUAGGCUGAGGGCACGUCUGCCUGGGCGUCAAACGCCGUUGCCCAAAACGUUUUGUCCUCUCAUUGGACUCCUGUGGAGGGUGGAUGUUGGCCUCCCGUGAGCAUGGCUUGCGGUUGGCUUAAACGUGAGUUCGUCUUGGCGAGCACCAUGACUUACGGUGGUUGAGUGAUGCUCGAAGCCAGUCUUGUGUUUCCUCGUCUUGCAAAGCAACUCUUGUGGCCCUAUUGCAUCAUGAUGCUUCCAACGUGACCCCAGGUCAGGCGGGGCUACCCGCUGAAUUUAAGCAUAUCAAUAAGCGGAGGAAAAGAAACUAACAAGGAUUCCCCUAGUAACGGCGAGCGACG